rnacentral:rRNA from 1 species
AGGGUUUGAUCCUGGCUCAGAUUGAACGCUGGCGGAAUGCUUUACACAUGCAAGUCGAACGGCAGCAUAGAGAGCUUGCUCUCUGAUGGCGAGUGGCGAACGGGUGAGUAAUAUAUCGGAACGUGCCUAGUAAUGGGGAACAACUAGCUGAAAGGUUAGCUAAUACCGCAUACGACCUACGGGUGAAAGCAGGGGAUCUUCGGACCUUGCGUUAUUAGAGCGGCCGAUAUCUGAUUAGCUUGUUGGUGGGGUAAUGGCCUACCAAGGCGACGAUCAGUAGCUGGUCUGAGAGGACGAUCAGCCACACUGGAACUGAGACACGGUCCAGACUCCUACGGGAGGCAGCAGUGGGGAAUUUUGCACAAUGGGGGAAACCCUGAUGCAGCCAUUCCGCGUGAGUGAAGAAGGCCUUCGGGUUGUAAAGCUCUUUCGCAAGAGAAGAAAACUUGCAAUCUAAUAUAUUGUAAGCAUGACGGUAUCUUGAUAAGAAGCACCGGCUAACUACGUGCCAGCAGCCGCGGUAAUACGUAGGGUGCAAGCGUUAAUCGGAAUUACUGGGCGUAAAGCGUGCGCAGGCAGUUUUAUAAGUCAGAUGUGAAAUCCCCGAGCUCAACUUGGGAACUGCGUUUGAAACUGUAAGACUAGAGUGUGUCAGAGGGGGGUAGAAUUCCACGUGUAGCAGUGAAAUGCGUAGAGAUGUGGAGGAAUACCAAUGGCGAAGGCAGCCCCCUGGGAUAACACUGACGCUCAUGCACGAAAGCGUGGGGAGCA